rnacentral:rRNA from 1 species
CCCUUAGAUGUUCUGGGCCGCACGCGUGCUACACUGAGUGGAUCAGCGGGUCAGGUUGCGCGAAAGCGUUUCCUAAUCUUUAAAUCCGCUCGUGAUGGGGAUUGACGGUUGCAAUUUUCUGUCAUGAACGAGGAAUACCUUGUAAGCGCGGGUCAUCAUCCCGCGCUGAAUACGUCCCUGCCCUUUGUACACACCGCCCGUCGCACCUACCGAUUGAAUGGUCCGGUGAGGACUCGGGAUUGUGGUUUAGCUCCUUCAUUGGGGCCUGACUGCGAGAACUUGUCCGAACCUUAUCAUUUAGAGGAAGGUGAAGUCGUAACA